rfam:Oryzias latipes DNA, chromosome8, strain: Hd-rR.
ACCCCGCCUGCCCAGUGUUCAGACUACCUGUUCCUCCAGCUAUAACUGAACAGUAGUCUGCACAUUGGUUAGGCUAGACU